CACCGUGCAGGCCCCGCCCGCUCGCGGCACGGCGGCCGCCACCGCCGGUCCCGGGCUCUGUCGCUCCGCGGCCGCCCUCGCCGCCAGUCCCGGCCCGUUUGUGCCGAACGGUCGUGAUGGUGUUCCGGUGCCAGCGGGACAGCUGGGCCCGGCAGUUCACCACCAGGGUGGUGUCGUGCCGGGCGGCGGAGCUGCGGCCCGAGGGCGGCGGGGAGCCGGUGCACGGGUUCCAGGUGGUGCUGGAGGACACCAUCCUCUUCCCCGAGGGCGGCGGGCAGCCGGAUGAUCGCGGCCUCAUCGGAGAUGUGCCGGUGCUGCGCGUGACCCGGCGGGGCCCCGAGGCCGUGCAUUUCGUGCCGGCCGCGCUAGAACCGGGCGCUGAAGUGCUGCUGUCGCUGGACUGGGAGCGCCGCUUCGACCACAUGCAGCAGCAUUCAGGACAGCAUCUCAUCAGUGCCAUUGCAGAACAGAUGUUUGGAUUCAAGACGACUUCAUGGGAGCUGGGCCGUCAGCGAAGUGUCAUUGAGCUGGACACCCCCUUGGUGACAGCAGAACAGGUCGGGGCCUUGGAGAAGAGCGUGAACGAGAAAAUCCGGGACAGGGUCCCUGUGACAGUGAGGGAACUGGCUGCAGAUGAUCCUGAAAUUGAAACAGUGAGGAGCCGAGGGCUGCCCGAUGACCAUGUAGGGCCAGUGCGUGUGGUGGACAUCAAAGACAUUGACUCCAACCUGUGCUGUGGGACUCAUGUCAGUAACCUGAGUGACCUCCAGGUUAUUAAACUCCUUGGUGUGGAAAAAGGGAAAAAGAACAAAACCAACUUGGUUUUCUUGACGGGAAACAGAGUGCUGAAGUCAAUCGAACAAAGUCACAGUACUGAGAAGGCUCUAACCUCCCUGCUCAAAAAUGGACCAGGUGAGCACGUGGAGGCUGUGAAGAGACUGCAGAGCUCUGUGAAACUUCUCCAGAAGAAUAACCUGAACCUGCUUAGAGACAUUGCUGUUUUGAUAGCCCAGGACUUCAAGAGCAAACCUGCUCCAAAGCAGCUGUUUGUAUUGCACAGGAAAGAGGGUGAUUCUGAAUUUAUGAACAUCAUUGCUAAUGAGAUUGGGACAGAGGAAACCCUGCUAUUCCUGACUGUGGGAGAUGAAAAAGAAGCAGGACUCUUCCUUCUAGCUGGACCUGUUAAAGCAGUUGAAAAUUUAGGUCCCAGGGUGGCAGAACUGCUGGGUGGAAAAGGAGCUGGGAAGCACGGCCGCUUCCAGGGCAAGGCAGCCAAGAUGAGCCGGCGAGGAGAAGUGCAAACUCUGCUCCAGGAAUUCAUUAGCCAUCAAAACCCUGGAGCAUGAGAAACAAUUCUCAAAGCAGAGCUGUCCCUGGUGUUCCCUGAGCUCGCCUUUCCUGCCCAGGCAGGCCCUGGAGCUGCUGCAUUUUCCUCUGGAGGGACUAGAGGGCGCUGUGGAGCCACAACGGGGCACAACAGGUGUUGAGGGUCUUCAGCACCCAGGAGAAAUGUCCUUCUUCUACCAUGUGCAGGCCAUGCCACAGCCCUGCAUCCAGGAGCUGAUCCCCCAUCCCAUGGUGCUGGCCAGUGGGACACUCAAACUCACCAGCUAAACAAUCUUCAGCUUUAAUAAAAUACUCCUAUGCACAACCCCACCCCACGUCAUGUGUGCACACAUACCUGUUGUGCGUGUGCACGUGGGCGUGUGUGCACCCCACACUGCAUCACACAGAGGUGAGCACCAAACGUCCCAGGGCAGGGGGGUCCCUCACACUGGCACUUUAUCUCCAUGUCACAGUGUCUGCCCAUUCCUGUCACAGAGCUGCCUCUUCAGGAGACCCCAGACACGCUGAUAUGA